AUACUUACCUGGCAGGGGAGAUACCAUGAUCAUGAAGGUGGUUUUCCAAGGGUGAUAUUUAUCCAUUGCAAUCUGGAUGUGCUAACCCCUGCAAUUUCCUCGAAUGUGGGAAACUUGACUGCAUAAUUUCUGGUACUGGGGGACUUCGUUCAAGCUUUCCCCUG
rfam:Tupaia chinensis contig205256, whole genome shotgun sequence.